UUUUGUGGUGGAAUGUCAUCAGUUAAGGUGGGGCAGGGCAUUUUCACUUCUUUUGUGAUUCUUCAGUUAGUUCAGGCCAUCUGGGCGUAUACCUGCAAGUCACAGGAGAUGCCAUGGCUUGGCUUGGGCUCAGAGGCCUGACAUUCCUGCCUUCUUAUAUUAAUAAGAAAAAAUAAAACAAAAUAGUGUUGAAGUCUUGGGGCAGCGAAAAUUUUUGGGGGGUGGUAUGGAGAGAGAAUGGGCGAUGUUUUUCAGGGCUGCUUCGAGUGGGAAUAGGGGUGGCGUGGGAACCUAGAGUGGGAGAGAUUAAGCUGAGAGGAGGUCUUGUGGUAAGGGGUGAUAUUGUGAGGAUGUUAGAAGAAACAUUUGUCGUAUAGAAUGAUUGGUGAUGGCCUGGAUACGGUUUUGGAUGAACUGAGAAACUGAAUGGAAUAACAGACGGAGAAAAACAGGUAUAAAAGGUCUAAGAAUUGGGACGACUCAGACCAUUUGCCCCUUUUACGACAAGAAUUAUUUAGAUCUUGUAGGAAGGAAAAAUUGAAAGUGCCAUUUUCCGGCUAUUCAGAACUACUGUCGAGUUUGUAUUGGGGUCAAGCGGCAUUACAGAAGAAAAUAAGAUGCUUAGAUUUUAGGUCAG
rnacentral:lncRNA from 1 species